AAUCAACGCUGGCGGCGUGCCUCAGACAUGCAAGUCGAACGCGAAAUUUCCCUUCGGGGAGAAAGUAGAGUGGCGCACGGGUGAGUAACACGUAGGUAAUUUGCCUUUGGGUGGGGAAUAACUCAGGGAAACUUGAGCUAAUACCGCAUAAUGCAGCGGCUCGACGUCGAGACAGUUGUUAAAGCGGGGAGUUGGAGCAAUACCGACCUCGCGCCUAAAGAAGAAGCCUGCGGCAGAUUAGCUAGUUGGUAAGGUAAUGGCUUACCAAGGCGACGAUCUGUAACCGGCCUGAGAGGGCGGUCGGUCACACUGACACUGACAUACGGGUCAGACUCCUA
rnacentral:rRNA from 1 species